UGUUUAAAAAGGAAACACAUUUGGAAGUUAAGUACAAGUAAUCUACUGUUUUCAACCAACUCAUUAGUUUUAAUUGUACUUUGUCUAAUGUUUCAAAUCAUUUUGGUGAUUUAUUCUUAUCCAAUUAUGUGAACUCGCUAGUUAAAACCUCUACGAGGUUUGUAUGAUGAUUCUUCAAAUUUAUUAGGAACCUGGCCCUAAUCAUGCCUUUUCAUGGAUGAAUUAAUGUACUUGGUAAACGGGGUUGGUGAUUCUGUAUUGUUGUAAUCGAGAUGCCUCUUGUGAUUUUUGGUUGAUUCUGACCCACGUGGCCUCUCAUGAUUUUGAUUCACAUGCUUUGGUCGUUUAACUUCAGAGCUUUAUCAGAUUUCCUCUUGGCCUGUCUGUACAUUUCGACACAUAUUUUACAGAUAUUAUUCAAUUCCGAGCCUAACUGAUUUAAAAUUGUUCUGUAAAAUUUUUAUUGAUCAUUAAAAUGUUAAAUAUAUAAA